CCACUAUAGUGCCAGGAAAACAUACUCGUUUUCCUGGCACUAUAGUGCCCUGAGGGUGCCCCCACCCUCAGGGACCCCCUCCCGCCCGGCUCUGGAAGGGGGAAAGGGGUAAUAACUUACCUUUUUCCAGCGCUGGGCGGAGAGCUCUCCUCCUCCUCUCCGCCUCCGUUACGCCCCGCCGGCUGAAUGCGCACGCGCAGCAAGAGCUGCGCGCGCAUUCAGCCGGUCACAUAGGAAAGCAUUUACAAUGCUUUCCUAUGGACGCUGGCGUGCUCUCACUGUGAAAAUCACAGUGAGAAGCACGCAAGCGCCUCUAGUGGCUGUCAAUGAGACAG